rnacentral:rRNA from 1 species
CAGUCGCCGCGGGAAUACGAAGGGGGCUAGCGUUGCUCGGAAUUACUGGGCGUAAAGGGCGCGUAGGCGGACAGUUCAGUCGGGGGUGAAAGCCCGGGGCUCAACCUCGGAAUUGCUUUCGAUACUGGCUGUCUUGAGUAUGAGAGAGGUGUGUGGAACUCCGAGUGUAGAGGUGAAAUUCGUAGAUAUUCGGAAGAACACCAGUGGCGAAGGCGACACACUGGCUCAUUACUGACGCUGAGGCGCGAAAGCGUGGGGAGCAAACAGGAUUAGAUACCCCCGUAGUCCCUGUCUCUUAUAC